UUUUGAUUUUAUCAUCCAACUAAAAUAUAUUGUUUUUUCAUUGUUCAAAGGAGACGUAUGUCGCGUCUUGCGCCGAUAAAGCUUCGGAAGGGCGCACAAUCACGAGUAUCAUGGGGAAGCUGGUGACCCUUCGUUGCCAUAUACUUUUCGUGGAAAGGAGUUCAACGCAAGGACGACCAUAAGAUAGAGAAAAAACCAUUCAAGGACCUUCUCAUAACUGAAGUUAUGAUUGCUGCUACAAACCGGUGCUGGCCGAAAGCAGAAUUGAAGCAGGUCUAGUUGAAAGCGGCUACGUGGCUUGCACAAACCCAAUCCAAGUUGGACAAAAUACAUGGAGAAAAGAAGAAGAAACAGUCGUCUGCUGAAGUCAAUGAAGACGAGACACUUGAAAAUUUUAAUUUGGAGCUCCAGCCAUAAAAUACAAUUCGUCGCAUUACCAUGUUAGUUAUGAAUGUUAAAGUAAAGGAUUUAUUCAUCAAUUUUGAAGUUAUGUAAUUUUUUCACAUCCAGCUGAAUAUUCUAUUUAUUCUAUAAAGUAGAUUAUAUGUCAAUGAUUUUGGAUCAUUCUGAAGAACUUAUUCAAUCAUUUCUAAAGUGAUUUAAAAUAGUUUAUUAAUCAUAAUUUUGCUCACUUAAAGCAUUUUAAAUCAUUGUAGAGUGAUU